UGGGGAAUAUUGGACAAUGGGCGAAAGCCUGAUCCAGCCAUGCCGCGUGUGUGAAGAAGGUCUUCGGAUUGUAAAGCACUUUAAGUUGGGAGGAAGGGCAUUAACCUAAUACGUUAGUGUUUUGACGUUACCGACAGAAUAAGCACCGGCUAACUCUGUGCCAGCAGCCGCGGUAAUACAGAGGGUGCAAGCGUUAAUCGGAAUUACUGGGCGUAAAGCGCGCGUAGGUGGUUUGUUAAGUUGGAUGUGAAAUCCCCGUGCUCAACCUGGGAACUGCAUUCAAAACUGACUGACUAGAGUAUGGUAGAGUGUGGUGGAAUUUCCUGUGUAGCGGUGAAAUGCGUAGAUAUAGGAAGGAACACCAGUGGCGAAGGCGACCACCUGGACUAAUACUGACACUGAGGUGCGAAAGCGUGGGGAGCAAACA
rnacentral:rRNA from 1 species